CGGGGCUUAAUGUCUUGUAAUUGGAAUGAUGGGAAUUUAAACCUCUUCCAGAGUAUCAAUUGGAGGGCAAGUCUGGUGCCAGCAGCCGCGGUAAUUCCAGCUCCAAUAGCGUAUAUUAAAUUUGUUGCAGUUAAAAAGCUCGUAGUUGAAUUUCUGCUGCAUUACAUUUCUCUUGUUUGGGUUUGUUAUUGUGGCUUAUUUCGGAUUGAUUUUUAUCUUUCCGGAUGAUUACUUUGAGAAAAUUAGAGUGCUCAAAGCAGGCUUUUGCCUUGAAUAGUUUAGCAUGGAAUAAUAGAGUAGGACUUUGGUUCUAUUUUGUUGGUUUUAGGUACCAAAGUAAUGGUUAAUAGGAACAGUUGGGGGCAUUCGUAUUUAACUGUCAGAGGUGAAAUUCUUAGAUUUGUUAAAGACGAACUACUGCGAAAGCAUUUGCCAAGGAUGUUUUCAUUAAUCAAGAAC
rnacentral:rRNA from 1 species